AUUGAACGCUGGCGGCAUGCCUUACACAUGCAAGUCGAACGGCAGCACGGGGCAACCUGGUGGCGAGUGGCGAACGGGUGAGUAAUGCAUCGGAACGUGCCAUUGAGUGGGGGAUAACGUAGCGAAAGUUGCGCUAAUACCGCAUAUUCUGUGAGCAGGAAAGCAGGGGACCGCAAGGCCUUGCGCUCUUUGAGCGGCCGAUGUCAGAUUAGCUAGUUGGUGAGGUAACGGCUUACCAAGGCGACGAUCUGUAGCGGGUCUGAGAGGAUGAUCCGCCACACUGGAACUGAGACACGGUCCAGACUCCUACGGGAGGCAGCAGUGGGGAAUAUUGGACAAUGGGCGCAAGCCUGAUCCAGCCAUGCCGCGUGGGU
rnacentral:rRNA from 1 species